UCAACACCUUCUACUUUAUAAAUAAAACUUUAGAUAUAAUUCCAUAUACAGUUUCAUAUAAUUCCAUAUAAUUCCAUUCUAACAUUUUCAGCUAUCAUAUACAUCACUCUCCUACAUUUACUCCUUUCUUGCUUUUACUUUUCGUUAUAUGAUUGUAGCCUAUUUCACUUCCACACUCAACUCUCAUUCUUAUAAUUACAUAUUUAUCCUAAUCUAAACUCAACAACCUAUACAGUUUACAUGUUUCUUUUUACUCUAACAUCACACCAACCCUCAAUGACCAAUACAAGACAGGGCAUAAUUGCAUUGAUCCACUGCCCGUAGCGCGGUCAUACCCACCUAGUCUGGAACUAUCCGCUUAUCCCCCUAAGGGAGCACCUGAAGUAGUAUUUUCUACCCCACCCAAAAACCAAGAACAAUCCAUGCCCAAACUCUACGGCAGAAAACAUUAGUGGAUAUAACACUGACUUUUCAAACCCAUGUUCUGUUUGUUUUGUUAUGAAAUCCACGAAAGCAAGACAAGUAUGAAUACUCCAGAAGCUAUCCCCAAUAUCUCGAGAGCAUCACCCCACACAGAACCAUCCCCAGCAUACCCUAGUGGGAUGCAUUUGCACCGUCGUCUAAACUCAACUCCUUCACUUCUAGCCAGUAGACGAUGGCUAAAGAUCGACCAAGCGCAUCCUGCCAAAGCCACUAGGAGAGCAACCAGGGCUGGUACCCGCCUGUUUUCCCAAUACACGGCGAAUAUUUCUACUCCUAAUCCCAAAGUGGCCAGGCCAAGCUGAAAGACGAAGAAGUAUAUAUUCAGUACAGCGAUAUAUAUUACUACUAAAAGAUAAAAAGAAUCUAUUACUAUUAAAAGAAAAAAUGAAUCCCCAGCGGUCUUGAAAGAAAAUCCCAAAAAAAGAAGAAAGAAGAAAAAGAACCAUGAUUCAUCAAAGCUUGGAAAAAUUAUACCUGAGGAAGAUGGCGUCUCUCACACUUCAUCGUCAAGAAAAGGUAGUGCCUUGCCCGUAGACCCCCCAGAAUCAGAGAUUUUGUCUGCCAUCGAAAAGUUGGGUUCUCUUAUAUGCUUUCUCAGGUACCUCAAGCUAGUAUUUAUUGUCCGCUCUUGCGUAAUGUUGUCCGCUACGUUUUCAAGUGCUGCCGGGCUUGGUACACGUGUCUUGCUUUGCUUCUUUCUUUCUCUGCCUCUUUAGGAGGCCAUUUGUUUUGUUUUCCUGAUUCAUUAGU
rnacentral:lncRNA from 1 species